GGAUUCCCCNUUNUAAGUGCGACCGAAACGGGAAGAGCCCAGCGCAAAGCCUCGCGUCCCCUUCGCGGGGGGCUCGAGGGGUGCUGCGUUCGGGAGAGGUCCUGCACGCGCUCCCGAGCCGCCUAAGUUGUUCAUGAAUGACUCUCAUACCCAGGGAGGGUGUCAGGCCCGUGUGGCGGAAAGGGACUUCCUCCUCCUCGUUCGCGGGGAGGGGGGUUUCGGGAGUGCGGAACGGGCCUCUCCUUAGAGUCGGGUUGCCUGAAACCGCAACCUAAAGCAGGUGGUAAACUCCAUCUAAGGCUAAAUAUGACCACGAGACCGAUAGCGAACAAGUACCGUGAGGGAAAGUUGAAACAGAACCCUGUAGAGAGAGUUCAAGAGAACGUGAAACCGUUAAGAGGCUAAACGGGCGGAGAUUCGAAGAUCGAACUGGGGGGAUUCAGUUCGUCGGCCUGCCGGGAGACGGUAGCGGGCGUGUUGCGACUUCCCGUUCCGGAGGCCUCGUGCCGAAGGAGCCUUGUCUGGGGAGCGCCGCCCGCCGCCUGCCCGGCGCCGGCGGGCGAUCUUCCCCCCGCAGUAGGUCGCCGCGACGCGUUGGGAUGACGGGCGUCUGAGGCCCGGGUCCUGGUAGGAACCGGCGGCGCGUUCGGCCCCCGCUCCGGCGGGGGUCGUUUUCCAGCGCGCCCGUCCGGGGAUCCCCCGGUGCCCUCGUCUUGCUCCCCCGACGGUCUCUCCUCCGGGGCCGUCCGAGCACGGGGGAGGGGUCCGAGGCCGCGGUCGAGCCUAGUCCCUUCCGGGGGGCCUGGCUUCCCGCGCUUCCCCUUCUCCCACUCGGCUGGCGGCCCUCGCGGCGUGCAAAGAGUCGGUACUCCUCCCGACCCGUCUUGAAACACGGACCAAGGAGUCCAACAUGUAUGCGAGUCAAUGGGCGCACUAAACCCACGGGCGCAAUGAAAGUGAUCGGGCCGAUCCCACGGAGCAGCGGGCGGCCGCGCGCACCCGGACGGAGUGACUGACUUUCCUCCCCGGGACGGCGCGGAUCCCCUCCCGCUCCCGCACGCCCGCCCGCCUUCACCGGCGGGCGGGGGGGCGCAGGUCCGGGACUCGCCAUGACGAACGGUCGCCUCUCCGCUUCGCGGCGGCAGGGCCGCGGCCGGAUGUGUCGGCGGGUACCCAGAGCAUAGAUGUUGGGACCCGAAAGAUAGUGAACUAUGCUUGGCCAGGAUGAAGCCAGGGGAAACCCUGGUGGAGGUCCGAAGCGUUUCUGACGUGCAAAUCGAUCGCCAGAGCUGAGUAUAGGGGCGAAAGACCAAUCGAACUAUCUAGUAGCUGGUUCCCUCCGAAGUUUCCCUCAGGAUAGCUGGCACUCGCAUCGAACGAGUUCCAUCCGGUAAAGCGAAUGACUAGGGGUGUUGGGGACGAAAUGUCCUCAGCCCAUUCUCAAACUUUAAAUGGGUGAGGUGCCGGGCUUGCUUCGCUGAAGCCCCGGACGAGAAUCGGAGUGCCUAGUGGGCCAAUUUUGGUAAGCAGAACUGGCGCUGUGGGAUGAACCAAACGUCGAGUUAAGGGGCCUAAAUGGAUGCUAAUUCCGAUCCCAUGGAAGGGAGUUGCUUGCUAUAGACAGCNGGACGGUGGCCAUGGAAGUUGGAAUCCGCUAAGGAGUGUGUAACAACUCACCUGCCGAAGCAAGUAACCCCGAAAAUGGCAUGGCGCUCAAGCAUCCUCCCGAUACUCGACCGCCGGGCGCACUAUGGGCUGCGUCGAGGAGGUCUCGAGGCCCCGGCGAGUAGGAGGGCGCGGUGGUGAGCGUAGAAGGAUACGGCGCGAGCCGGUCUGGAGCCGCCACUGGUGCGGAUCUUGGUGGUAGUAGCAAAUGCUCGAGCAAGCCGAACCCUCGUUGACCGAAGCGGAGGAGGGUUCCCCGCCAACAUCGCUUGGUCGUGGAUAAGUCGGCCCUUAGCCCGAGGAUAGCUUCCCUCCGAUCCCCUGGAAAACGCCACAAAACAGUAGAGAGCACAGCCGAAAAAGACUCCCUGUUUUGCAAAGAGAGAGAGUGAGCGAGAGAGGGGGGACGGGGUCCCCAAGGCGGCGGCACGAGCCUCCUGAAAAGGAGGCUUGUCGGCGCCGGCUGCAAGCUCCGCCCAACCCCUUGGGCGGGCGCGCGCGGCCGGCGUCUUGGCCCCCCAUCUAUGUGUGGGGCCACGCCCGAGCCGCGCUCCCCCCUCGCCUCACCGCAAUUGUCUGGAUCNAAAACGAANCCARGAGAANAAAGAAAAAGAAAKCCANNANNUU
rnacentral:rRNA from 1 species